rnacentral:tRNA from 1 species
AAGUUGAUAGGUUAAUUAAACCAUUGGCCUUCAAAGCCGAAAAUAGGCUCACUUCAACUUG